CAGUAGCCGCGGUAAUACGUAGGGUGCAAGCGUUAAUCGGAAUUACUGGGCGUAAAGCGUGCGCAGGCGGUUAUAUAAGACAGAUGUGAAAUCCCCGGGCUCAACCUGGGAACUGCAUUUGUGACUGUAUAGCUAGAGUACGGCAGAGGGGGAUGGAAUUCCGCGUGUAGCAGUGAAAUGCGUAGAUAUGCGGAGGAACACCGAUGGCGAAGGCAAUCCCCUGGGCCUGUACUGACGCUCAUGCACGAAAGCGUGGGGAGCAAACAGGAUUAGAUACCCCCGUAGUCCCUGUCUCUUAUCA
rnacentral:rRNA from 1 species